UACGUAGGGGGCAAGCGUUGUCCGGAAUCAUUGGGCGUAAAGCGCGUGUAGGCGGUUCGGUAAGUCUGCUGUGAAAGUCCAGGGCUCAACCCUGGGAUGCCGGUGGAUACUGUCGAACUAGAGUACGGAAGAGGCGAGUGGAAUUCCCGGUGCAGCGGUGAAAUGCGCAGAUAUCGGGAGGAACACCAAUUGCGAAGGCAGCUCGCUGGGACGUCACUGACGCUGAGACGCGAAAGCGUGGGGAGCAAACAGG
rnacentral:rRNA from 1 species